AUGCCAGUAAAUUAUGUCUGCUUAACUUGACUGUGUUCUGCAGAACUAUUUACAAUUACACUGGCAAUAAUAAAGCCACAGUACGAGCCUUAAAGAUUUGCUAGUCUUUGAGGUCCCUGAAAAUGGCUACACUU
ensembl:snoRNA